AUGAACGCUGGCGGCGUGCCUAAUACAUGCCCGUCGAGCGAACGGACGAGAAGCUUGCUUCUCUGAUGUUAGCGGCGGACGGGUGAGUAACCCGUGGAUAACCUACCUAUAAGACUGGGAUAACUUCGGGAAACCGUAGCUAAUACCGGAUAAUAUUUUGAACCGAAUGGUUCAAAAGUGAAAGACGGUCUUGCUGUCACUUAUAGAUGGAUCCGCGCUGCAUUAGCUAGUUGGCAAGGUAACGGCUUACCAAGGCAACGAUGCAUAGCCGACCUGAGAGGGUGAUCGGCCACACUGGAACUGAAACACGGUCCAGACUCCUACGGGAGGCAGCAGUAGGGAAUCUUCCGCAAUAGUCGAAAGCCUGACGGAGCAACGCCGCGUGAGUGAUGAAGGUCUUCGGAUCGUAAAACUCUGUUAUUAGGGAAGAACAUAUGUGUAAGUAACUGUGCACUUCUUGACGGUACCUAAUCAGAAAGCCACGGCUAACUACGUG
rnacentral:rRNA from 1 species